GGCAGGGGGCGGGCCCUCCGCGAGGGGUAGGGAAGGGGCGGAGCGGCCAGGCCACCAGCCGGCAUUGCUCCAUUGGGCAAGCCACGCUGAGGGAUCCACCUAAGAGCCAAUCAAAGGCACAAACAUCAGACGAAGGGGCGGGAUCGCCACAGGGACCCUCUUCGGAGGUCAGAGCUCGGCGGGGUGCGGCUAGUGGCGGAGCGCGCUGCGAGGGGAGGGCUUUCCACUGUCGCUGGCGUGAACUCGCGUGCCCGGUGGGUAUCAGGGAAGAACCCCCGCCCCGGACCCCCAGAUCUGCCAUGGCCGAGGUAGCGAUCGUCUCUGCGGCCACGAAGACUGUUUUAACUUGUACCACUUUCCCUUCCAUUUUUCCUGGGGUGCCUCUCACCCUGCAUCUGCGCGUUCAGCAAGCUGGAUUUCGGGAAUGCUCAGUUCAGAAGAGAAAAAAUUGCCGGGAAUCAAGUCCUUCUUUUUGUUAGUCGGUAGUCGAUUGAUGGGAAGUGUUCAAAAUCAUUCGAUGUGGUGACAAGGCUUCACCAGGUACUGCCUUCUAACGAGCUGGCCAUUUCCACAUGUCAGAUAGGACCAACUUGCCUUUUAACUACCCGUGUGAUACUUAAACACUGUUGCCGGUAUCACAGCUUUUCUUCAAAACAGGAAGCAACGAGAAUGAGGGCAUUCCAGUAGCAGGAGACAGCAUGCAUAGAGAUGCUGAUGAAGAAAGAGCCUAGCGCACGUGGGAAACUGCAAAAGUUCAGACUGGUUGGAAUGCUGGAAAUGUUGUGAAUGACAGGAGAUGAGGCUGGCGAGAAAACAGAGGUCAGAUUGUGGAAGGCUGUCAAGCCAAAGACUUUGAUUUUAUUCUUGAGAUUGAUGAGAUGUGUGUAAUCCAGGAGUGUGCAAAACAAUCUGUAAGGGUUCAGAAAACAUACUGCUUCUAUAUAUAGUUACCUUUGUCUUAACUUGAAAAUUUCAAAUUGUGUAGGAGUUACAAUGUGUGUAAUUGUUAUUAUAGUACUGGAUCCAAAUAAUUUAUAAAUAAAUAAAUAUAGACAUAAUAUGGUGUAUUACAGGUUAAAUUGUGUACCUCAAAAAUUCAUGUUUAAGUUCUAACCCUCAUUAUCUCAAACUGUGACCUUAUUUGGAAAUACUAUCAUUGCAGAUGCAAUAGUUAAUGAGGUCAAGUUAAGAAGCAAUAGGAGGCCAGGCAUGGUGGCUCACACCUGUAAUCGCAGCACUCUGGGGAGGCCAAGGUGGGUGGAUCACCUGAAGUCAGGAGAUCAAGAGCAACCUGGGCAACAUGGUGAAACUCCGUCUCUACUAAAAAUACACAAAUUAGGCUGGGCUUGAUGUCUCACACCUGUAAUCCCAGCACUUUGGGAGGCCAAGGCGGGCGGAUCACCUGAGGUCAGGAGUUCGAGACCAGCCUGGCCAACAUAGUGAAACCCCAUCUCUACUAAAAAUACAAAAAUUAUUUUGUAUUUUGGUGGCGGACACCUGUAAGUAAUCCCAGCUACUCGGGAGGGUGAGGCAGGAGAAUCGCUUAAACCUGGGAGGUGGAGUUUGCAGUGAACCAAGAUCACACCACUGCACUCCAGCUUAGGAGACAGGGCUAGACUCUGUCUCAAACAAACAAGCAAACAAACAAAAGAAAGAAGAAAAGAAGGAGCGAAAAGGUGGGCCCCCAAUCCCUAAUCCAGUAUGACUAAUGUCCUUCCAAGAACAGAAAAUUUGAACAGAGACACACAAACGGGAAGAAUACCUAUGCCUUUUGAAGGUAAAGGCGGACAUUGGGGUAAUGCUUUUACAAGCCAAGGAACUCCGAAGGUAGCCAGCAAACUGUCAGAAGCUAGGCGAGGGUCCUGGGACAGAUUCUCCUCACAGCCCUCAGAAGGAAUCAGUCCCGCUGACACCUUGAUCUUGGACUUGUAGCCUCAGGAACUGUGAGGCAAAUGUCUGUUGUUUAAACUAUCCAGUUUGUGAUACUUUGUUACAGCAGCCCUAGCAAAUUGAGCUACUUGGUCAAAAACUUCAGGCAACACUGAUGAGAUGAUGUAAAGGCUUUAAAGAGUUGGUUUAUGUUUAAGAGUCCAAAUUAUCAACGUCCUAUCUUUACUCAGUCUCUGUAUUCAAGAAUUGACCUUAGGCCAGGUGCAGUAGUUCACGCCUGUAAUCCCAAUACUUUGGGAUGCCAAGGUAGGAGGAUUGCUUGAGGUCAGGAGUUUGAGAUCAGCCCUUGUAUAUUAGUUCGUUCUCAUGCUGCUGAUAAAGACAUACCCAAGACUGGGUAAUUUAUAAGGAAAAAGAGGUUUAAUGGACUCACGGUUCCAUGUGGCUGGAGAGGCCUCAAUCAUGGCGGAAGGUGAAAGGCAUGUCUUAGGUGGCGGCAGACAAAAGAGAAAUGAGAGCCAAGUGAGAAGGGAAACCCCUUAUAAAAUCAUCAGAUCUCGUGAGACUUAUUCACUACCAUGAGAACAGUAUGGGGAAAGCGUCCCCAUGAUUCAGUUCCCACCGGGUCCCUCCCACCACAUGUGGGAGUUCUGGGAGCUACAAUUGAAGAUGAGAUUUGAGUGGGGACAAAGCCAAACCAUAUCACCUUUUCUCUACUAAAAAUUAAAAUUAAUUAAAAAAUUAAGCUGGCAUGGUACUAUAUGUCUGUAGUCCUAGCUACUUGGGAUGCCGAGGUGGGAGGAUUGCUUGAGCCCACGAGGUUGAGGCUGCAGUGAGUCAUGAUCAUGCCACUGCACUCCAGCCUGGACAACAGAGCAAGGCCCUGAUGCAAAAAACAAAAAAUAAUAAUUUAACUUAAAGUGAUGUCUUGAUUGCAGUGUUUAUUCUACUUUU
rnacentral:lncRNA from 10 species